AGUUCCUCCUACCUGCGAGGAGCUGAGCCAAAAGUGCAGGAGGUGGAGACAACUCUGUGUAUUUCAGGUUGGAUAAGUGUGUUUUAUGUGUUGUUUUGUGUUGUACAGCAUUGUGUGAGUUAGAGGUUAUGGCUUAGGCUAAUAGAAGCAGUUGGAUGAGAUCAUCAGAAUGAAGAUGCAAGAUGUGUAAAAAUGUGCAAACAACGACAAACUAGCUGUAUUUGCCAACACUUAAAUUAUAAGGUAUGCUAUAAGGUGUGUUACACACUCACACCUCAUCUAACUUGAUUUAUGAAGUCACUGUUAUAGGCUCACUGUUAAUGAUAAGCCUCAGUCAUAUUCAGUCAGGUGGCUGAAUAUCAUAUUCAUUCAGGUGGCUUGGUGGUGUAGGCUCUGUGUUACUGAUCGGAAGGUCGGGGGGUUCAAGCCCCAGCACUACCAAGCUGCCACUCUUAGGCCCUUGAGCAAGGCUCUUAACCCUCUCUUCUCCAGUGGCACUGCAUCAUGGCUGACCCUGCACUCUGACCCUAGCCCCCUGAUAUUCUGGGGUAUGCGAAGAAAAGAAUUUCACUGUGCUGUAAUGUAUAUGUGACCAAUAAAGAUUAUCCUGCUCCAUCCAAUGGGUUUUUGUUUCUGCAGAGAGGAGAGUGUGACUGACUGCAGUGCACCAGAGCAGCACAGUUUGGAUAGAAACACAAAACCCUUGAAACAAGAAACAAACAAACAACUUAAUGGAAUUUAAUCUAGUCAAGAGGACCAGCCAAAUAUAGCCAUAACUGCAGUCAAGCUUCACAGAGGCCAGAUCUCACACAAACAGAUGUGUUGGUGCCUCCAUUGAAGCCUGAACCUGCAAGUGCAUCCGAUUGGGUAAAAAAACUGGGCAGUGAGGACUGUACAGAAUGCAUGUGUACACACAGUAACCGGUACACUAUUUGCAAUGUUGCAGUCUAAUAUAAUUUAGGACAUGACGUUAUUGUCAUUAUGAAGUUGUUAUUAUUAAAAGUCACUGUAAUUUGCUGCUGUUGCUCACCUCUGCCAAAAUGGCUUUUAUGAGCUACAUUCAAACAAACACUUGCAGCUAGACACUGACACAGUUGUGUUGUAUUUGUCUAGCUAACUAUGUUGUGUAUAUUAAAGAGCUACUAGUUUGGAGAAUAACUUGUUUUUGUUGUGAGGAUACCAAAUUAGUCCAGAAUCUCCCAAGUAAAAUAAUUACACCUCAAGCAUUAAAGCCACCGUGGCAGUUUCCAAGCUCUUUAAAGCUUUCAGGUCUGUCUUGCUCUGAAAAUCCACACUGAUGUUUACUGUACUUAUCCUGUUCUAGACACAUUGUACCUGGGCUAGUCAAACACCUAACCCAGUAUGAGCAAAUACCAUUGCACACCGCAUUUUACAAAGCGGCACCAGACACUUUAUCAUUCAUCCCACCUCUCCCGGAAGUUCCAGGAGUCUCCAGGG